AUAUACUAUACUGUUGUUUCUCAUCAAAAAAAAAAAUCUCAAAUUCAUGAACACUAAGAAACCAUAUCCAGUGCUUCUCCAACUCCUCUCUUUUCUACUUCAUUAGCUGUAACAAACUGAGCCGUCCAAUGUACGAAGCUCCCCAUUAAAAUGGGACACAGAGGAAGGCAGCCUCUUUUUACUCAAAACCACUACUCUACGACCCUUUCAAGCUCCCAACUUACUCAACAAAGACACAAUAUCCCUCUCAUACCUUUCUACUAGCAAUCACAAAAUAUUGCUAAAGGAGAAUUUCUCAAGAGAUAUCAAAUAGACUCCCUUGUCCCAUCAAGUCCUUGUUGGGACUGCCAUUACCUAAAGCCACCUCGUCAUUGCACUCAUUUAAGUCCACACUCUUGGCAUCUUUGGGAAGAUUCUCCAAGAAGUUCACAAUCAGGCCCUCACAAGAGAUCACUCACAACAUCCCAUAACCAUCACCGGGAAGUUCACAACCAAACCCUCACUAGAAAUCAUCCGCAAUGGCUUAUAACCAUCACCCUCACGUUCUACUAAAAACCCCUCAAUCUGAUCUCUUCACAUAACCAAGCUUUUGGCCAUUCCCAAUGAUGGACCCCUGCCUUUGAAAGGGGUAGAGGAAUAAGUAGAAGACCUACUCCUCAUCAAAAUACCUAGGAGUUGAUAACUUACCUACAAAACCUUCCACUUCAAACAAGAGGGCAGCACUUGCGUAUGAUGCUCUCUCCUCCUCUAGGCUCUCUGAGGAGAGAACCAUUAAAGAGAAAGCCCACCUCAUCAAAAACCAUCCUUACACUGACCAGAUCAACCAAAGAAACCCAUGGCACCAUCUCUUGAUCCACAACAUCAAGAGGUUCUCACCCAUUCAACAACAAGAUAGACCAACCUCUCUUAGGAGGCCAAAACUUGUAACUAGCUCCCUUCUCACAAAUAUCGGACUCAUAUUUCUCCAAAGGCAAGAUGCUAACAAAGCUCUCACUACCUGCUAAGGCCCGACCCUGCAUCCCUUAGGCAGUAAAAUAUGAGAUGGGUCUAACCUAAUCCAUAAACAUCAUGAAUCAAAGGGUCGAAGACUUUAACAACCUUCCUUGAGCCACUAAAACCUUAGCCCAAAAUGAAAUCCUUUGCUUUCUCACUAGGAGGGCCACCUCCACUAACCCAAAGCCUAAAAAUCUCCAAACCUACAAUCUCCAUCAUAAUGACCUAAGAGCAUUGGCUUGUUAGAACCACCAACUAUUUCCCUAGCUUUACGACAACUUAAGAACCCUCAGG
rnacentral:lncRNA from 1 species